AUGCGGGAGAACGAGCUGUUGUGCAAUGCAUGGUUGGACACUAGCAUUGAUUUGAUCCAUGGCACGGAGCAAAAAGGCACAACCUUUUGGAGGAACAUUCAUAUAUGGUUCCAUGAACACAAACAUUUCGCGCCCUACUCCGAAAUGAUCAUCCACAACCGUGAAUGGAAGUCCCUAAACCAUCGAUGGUAGACCAUCCAAGAGGUCGUGUCCAAGUAUUGUGGGCACUUGAAGCAACUCAUCGCACGAUGGCCUAGCGGUGCUCAAAUCACCGAACAAGUAAGUUAA
rnacentral:rRNA from 1 species